GAGGGUAUAGCUCAGUGGUAGAGUGCAUGCUUAACAUGCACGAGGUCCUGGGUUCAAUCCCCAGUACCUCCA
rnacentral:tRNA from 1 species